rnacentral:misc_RNA from 1 species
GGCGCAGUUCCAUUGGAUGCUACAGCAAGCUUGGAUGCAAAAAUGGGGGUAGCCCUUCCUCUUUAAUUAAAGAGAAGAUAAAGCAAUUCAAUAAUUAGCUUGAGAGAGGUGAGGUGCACAAAUGAUAAAAUAGGACAUCUAAUCCUAUACAAGACCUAUCCACCAAUAAGAAAAAUUACAGAAAAAAAAUUUUAAAAUUCUACUACAAAUACUUCCAAAAUCCUAAUAAAAAAAAUUAUAAAAUUAAGGAUGUUAGCCUGUUAAAGAGUUUUAAAUCAUUCACGUCUAGACAUGGGCUCGGU